rnacentral:rRNA from 1 species
GAGCGGAUGACGGGAGCUUGCUCCUGGAUUCAGCGGCGGACGGGUGAGUAAUGCCUAGGAAUCUGCCUGGUAGUGGGGGACAACGUUUCGAAAGGAACGCUAAUACCGCAUACGUCCUACGGGAGAAAGCAGGGGACCUUCGGGCCUUGCGCUAUCAGAUGAGCCUAGGUCGGAUUAGCUAGUUGGUGAGGUAAUGGCUCACCAAGGCGACGAUCCGUAACUGGUCUGAGAGGAUGAUCAGUCACACUGGAACUGAGACACGGUCCAGACUCCUACGGGAGGCAGCAGUGGGGAAUAUUGGACAAUGGGCGAAAGCCUGAUCCAGCCAUGCCGCGUGUGUGAAGAAGGUCUUCGGAUUGUAAAGCACUUUAAGUUGGGAGGAAGGGCAGUAAGUUAAUACCUUGCUGUUUUGACGUUACCGACAGAAUAAGCACCGGCUAACUCUGUG